rnacentral:misc_RNA from 1 species
GAUGAAGAACGUAGCGAAAUGCGAUAAGUAAUGUGAAUUGCAGAAUUCAGUGAAUCAUCGAAUCUUUGAACGCACCUUGCGCCCCUUGGUUAUUCCAAAGGGCAUGCCUGUUUGAGUAUCAUGAACACCUCAACUCUUGUGGUUUCCCACAAUGAGCUUGGACUGUGGAGGUUUUGUUGGCCCUGUGGUCAGCUCCUCUCAAAUGGAUCAGCUUACCGGUGUUUGGUGGCAUUACGGGUGUGAUAACUCUCUACGCUCGUGGUCGUCUCCAAAUAACCUCCAGUGAUGGAGGUUCGCUGGAGCUUAUAAAUGUCUCUCCCCAGUGAAGACAGCCUUUGAACGUUCGAUCUCACAUCAGGUAGGACUACCCGCUGAACUUAAGCAUAUCAAUAAGCGGAGGA